rnacentral:rRNA from 1 species
CCAAUAGCGUAUAUUAAAGUUGUUGCAGUUAAAAAGCUCGUAGUUGAACUUCGGGGUCUACCCAUUGGUCAGGCUUAAUUGUCUGCACUGGUGAGAUGGAUCUCUACCUUCUGAGGAACUUUCAUGCCAUUUAUUUGGUGUGAUUGGAAAUCAGGACUGUUACUUUGAAAAAAUUAGAGUGUUUAAAGCAGACUAUCGUCUGAAUACAUUAGCAUGGAAUAAUGAAAUAGGACGGACUGAUUCUAUUUCGUUGGUUUCUAGGAUCACCGUAAUGAUUAAUAGGGAUAGUUGGGGGCAUUAGUAUUCAAUUGUCAGAGGUGAAAUUCUUGGAUUUAUUGAAGACUAACUACUGCGAAAGCAUUUGCCAAGGAUGUUUUCAUUAAUCAAGAACGAAAGUUAGGGGAUCGAAGACGAUCAGAUACCGUCGUAGUCUUAACCAUAAACUAUGCCGACUAGGGAUCGGACGAAGUUAAUUUAUAAUGACGCGUUCGGCGCCUUACGGGAAA